rnacentral:tRNA from 1 species
AGGGUAAUAGCUCAGUAGUAGAGCACAUGCUUAGCAUGCACAAGGUCCUGGGUUCAAUCCCCAGUACCUCCA